GCCCAUACGUGGGGAGUAUGUGUGUUUCAGAAAAAUUCACCAAAGCCAGGACUACAAAGGGAAGGAGGAGUGCUAGCCAGCGUGCAGAAAGUGGGUGCUCAUACUAAACACACGUGUCAUUGUUGUUUAAACAAACUGCUGCUACAUCUGCUGGAGGCUGAUAAAGAUGAUACCCUCACACCCUACCCCUGCCCCAACGCCCCCUCCAGGGGCAUGUUCUGUAGGCGGGUCCAGCGACACAUAUUGUCAAAUCAAAUGGAGCCACACGGCCACUUAAUCCCAACCCUUUUAAUAAUGAGUAGGUUGGUUAUGAAAGUAUGAUUUGCCAGUAUGACAGCGAUGCUUCAGUACUCCUACCUUUGUGUCGUCUUUUUAUUUUUAAUGUAGUGUGUCUAUAAAACAGCAAACUGUUUUGCUGUUUGCACAAAAGGAAGCAAAUUGUUUUUUUCAGUGUAGAGUGGAUGAUUCAUUAUUAUUCACUUUAUAUAAUAGCAAAUCCACAUUAGCCAUACAGGUUAUUUAUCUUCCCUCUGCUGUUUGAGAGAACAGAUUAAAUGUUGAGUCCCUUUAUUGACUGUGGAUGUAGAACACAUCCAGGAAAGGGUCAUCAGGCUGAACAUUCACAUAAGAUGUACAUAGAAAGCCACCAAACAAAACACACAAAGGAACAACAAUAAUUGUGUUCAUCUUUGAUUCCAAGUAAGUGAAAAAUUUAAAUGUAAAAAAAAAUAAAUCUAAAUAAAUCUGCACAAACAUCAAAUAGUUCAGUAGACGCUAUUCCAUUGAUGCUGAGGCACUUCCCUCCCUCUCUCCCUCUCUCUCUCUGCACAAUGUUGUACACAGACUGAUUUCAUUUAUUGGAAAAUGACAACUUCCAGUGGUGAAGUAACUAUAUCUGCUCUUCUAUCAAUAGCUUGGUCUCAGACCAACCUCAAAGGUCACGACUUGACUCCACAAUGUCUUGGCCCCAGUAGGCCUUAAGUCUUAGCUUUAGACGAGACCACCAGGAAACUGUAUAGUGAGCCCCAUCGCUGAUCAAUGCCUUUCAGUGUGCCACCACCCUGCGCAGAAACCACAUGUGGGCGUCCAACUGCCUGCCCCCAAUCCAUAUCUCUCCGUUUCUGUAUUUACAGCAAAUGAAACAUUCAGACGGAAAGACGGCUGAUAUCGAUUAACUUGUGGGUUCACUAUUUUGAGUGACAUUUCAUAAAUAGAGCCGCCUCGUGAAAUAGUAAUGAGCCGAUGGCGAUUAGCAUUCAACCUUAAUAUGGCAUGAUUGAUUAGAUAUUCAGAUUUCACUUGGCCAAGGUUAAAUAUUGAAGCCAAGCAUAUAAAAA
rnacentral:lncRNA from 1 species